rnacentral:rRNA from 1 species
CCUACGGGGGGCUGUAGUGGGGAAUAUUGGACAAUGGGGGAAACCCUGAUCCAGCAAUGCCGCGUGUGUGAAGAAGGCCUGCGGGUUGUAAAGCACUUUCGGUUGGGAAGAAAAGUUUGGCGCCAAUACCGCCGAACCUUGACGUUACUGACAGAAGAAGCACCGGCUAACUCUGUGCCAGCAGCCGCGGUAAUACAGAGGGAGCCAGCGUUAAUCGGAAUCACUGGGCGUAUAACGUGAGUAGGGUGUCAAAUCCCCGGGCUUAACCUGGGAACUGCAUUCUAUACUACAUGGCUAGAGUAUGGUAGAGGGAAGUGGAAUUUCCGGUGUAGCGGUGAGAUGCGUAGAUAUCGGAAGGAACACCAAUGGCGAAGGCAGCUUCCUGGACUAAUACUGACACUGAGGCACGAAAGCGUGGGUAGCAAACAGGAUUAGAUACCCCUGUAGUC